rnacentral:rRNA from 1 species
UUAAGCAUAUCAAUAAGCGGAGGAAAAGAAACCAACAGGGAUUGCCUCAGUAGCGGCGAGUGAAGCGGCAAAAGCUCAAAUUUGAAAUCUGGCGUCUUUGGCGUCCGAGUUGUAAUUUGAAGAAGGUAUCUUUGGGCCCGGCUCUUGUCUAUGUUCCUUGGAACAGGACGUCACAGAGGGUGAGAAUCCCGUGCGAUGAGAUGACCCGGGUCUGUGUAAAGUUCCUUCGACGAGUCGAGUUGUUUGGGAAUGCAGCUCUAAGUGGGUGGUAAAUUCCAUCUAAAGCUAAAUAUUGGCGAGAGACCGAUAGCGAACAAGUACAGUGAUGGAAAGAUGAAAAGAACUUUGAAAAGAGAGUGAAAAAGUACGUGAAAUUGUUGAAAGGGAAGGGCUUGAGAUCAGACUUGGUAUUUUGCAUGCUGCUCUCUCGGGGGCGGCCGCUGCGGUUUACCGGGCCAGCAUCGGUUUGGAGCGGCAGGAUAAUGGCGGAGGAAUGUGGCACGGCUUCUGCUGUGUGUUAUAGCCUCUGACGAUACUGCCAGCCUAGACCGAGGACUGCGGUUUUUACCUAGGAUGUUGGCAUAAUGAUCUUAAGUCGCCCGUCUU